UUAAAAGUAUUUUUAUAAAACUAUGUAAAAAUCAGUUUUAUAACUUUUUCUAGAUAAUUCUUUAUAGCAGAGAAGAAGCUGCGAAUAUUCUGGAUGCUGCUUCAAACCCUGGUGGCCCACCCCGGCGUUCUUCUACUCAAUCGAUUGCAACUGAUGACCAAGCUUUAGCUUUGCAUUCUGACGUGAAUUUCUCUAGAGCACCUCUAAGGUCUAUUGCUUUUCUUAUUAAUUCAAUUUUCAUGUCUGUCUAAGGACAUAACAGCAACUACAUGCUCAUGAUUGGAAGUGACAUUGGCUAGUUGGCAAAGUUGCCCUAGCUGUUUUCGGUUUACUGCACUAGGCUGCUUGUGUUAAUUGGUAAAGUUUUAUUAUGUGAGGCCGAUAGGCCAUUCACAUGUUUCCAUUUGCUAUGUCGGCCUGAAGGAUCCGACCAUAGCUAUCACAUUAACAAGCUUUUUCAAAAUUCAGCUGUAUUUUGUGACUAUACAAAGAGUUAAGUAUGUUCUCUGCUCGGCUUGUGAUCAGGGCAUGAAUGUUCAUCAAAUCAAUAUUUUUUUGUCAGAUGUUGUAGUUGUGACUGCCCUGGUAGCUGUGUAUGGAAAAUGUUGAAGCUCAGAUAAAGUGUAUGAACUGUUUGACUGAAUGCCUUAAAUAAAUGUUGUCUCAAUACAUUUUUAGCAAGUGCAAAUUGGCAGGCAUUAAGCUUAAUUUCAAAGAUCUUAGCGAACCGGAUUGAUUUAUCCAGUUCCAUGGCAGUGUGGAUAAGCGGGAAACUCAAAAUUAAAGAGGGGUCACAGCCAAAAUAUCUGACAAAAAGGGCUACUGUCGAAUCUUCCGCAGCUAUUCUGCCAAGAAUAAACUUUAAGGGCUAACUAUAUAAUAGCAUUGCAAAACCCUGUAUGUAUGCAGGGUCUUAAAAAACCAUGUAAUAACAAAGCAAAAAGGCGUAGGAACAUAGAAACUGUGAAAUAGAAAGUCGUUGUUGAACAUCUAGAAUGGACCAGGCGGACUUCAUGAGACUAAGGUUCUGCUCCUCUGUCAAGUGGACAUUAGCAACACCGAGCACACGUCCUCUUCCCAGUUGCAUAGGUAGGAUAAGAAAGACCUCUUCUUCAAUGCUGUGAAAACCCUUGGCCAGAAUAGAAAUCGGGUGGCUCUUUCUCUGGUUACGCCGCAAACUCCUGGCCAAAUUAGUCAUCGAGUACAUUACAGUAUCUGAAUUUUUAGGGUGAAGGUGUAUUAAAUUCAAUAUGCAAUGGUGGUUUAUUUUCAUUAGCUAGCUAUGUUUUUCAAUUUAUAAAUGCCCAAGGAGAAUGCCUCUAAGGAAUUUAGGAUUUUAAUUACUCUUUAUUGUAUUCUAUACAUUGGCUAAGCAGAUUACCACAAGAAAAUAAGACUCUUUUAUUGACAGGAACUUCACAGGUCCAGAUGUCCAUUUGUCCAUUUUUAUCCUUUUACAGAGUCUUUGAGUUUACAUGAUUCAUUUGUCAUUUUCUGAAUGCCUUUCCAGAUUUUUUAAAAUAAAUCUAUUCUGUGCAUAUACUACAAUCAUCGCAGUUUACGAGUAACAUUUCUUAGCGGCAUUCUAGCAAACAGUUCACUGUGCCCUGAGGCUGGGAGGAUGUUGGCAAAGGUUGUGCAAUUUGGCUUUAUAACUACCGACAGGAGCUUGCUAGAUACCCUGCUUUGACUACAGAAAUCUUUCUAGUCGAAGAUUUAGAAACAGAGUAUAUAUAUUGUGAUCCUUGUCUUGUACAAUUUCGGCAUUUGGAUCCUUUGUUUGAAAAUUUGUUUAAAGCAUGAAAUCUUUAGAGGGCGACUUAUUUUUAAUUGAGGUUUGAGUGGAUUCAAAGAGCCGGAGAAUUCUUUCCUCGCCACAUAAAGUUGGAAUAGUUCUAUGAUUUAUUCCAUUCAAUUAGCUUUUAAUACCAGACAAGUUUUCAGUGGAUUUGAAUUUUGGGUUUUACUGUAACUUUAUGUUUUAUUUUUUUAUAUCAUACCAUUCAAGUACGCUAAAACAACUUAAUAUCAUAUGUGGUGAAGCUCAACAGAGAGCUAAAGCGGGGAGGGUUUUUCGAUAUUAUGGCCAUAAUCUCAAGGGAUCUGUACUUUAUAUAAUUCCAUAUCAGAAAGCACUUUCUUUA